CAGUAGGGAAUCUUCCACAAUGGACGAAAGUCUGAUGGAGCAACGCCGCGUGAGUGAAGAAGGUUUUCGGAUCGUAAAACUCUGUUGUAAGGGAAGAACACGUACGAGAGUAACUGCUCGUACCUUGACGGUACCUUAUUAGAAAGCCACGGCUAACUACGUGCCAGCAGCCGCGGUAAUACGUAGGUGGCAAGCGUUGUCCGGAAUUAUUGGGCGUAAAGCGCGCGCAGGCGGUCCUUUAAGUCUGAUGUGAAAGCCCACGGCUCAACCGUGGAGGGUCAUUGGAAACUGGGGGACUUGAGUACAGAAGAGGAAAGCGGAAUUCCAAGUGUAGCGGUGAAAUGCGUAGAGAUUUGGAGGAACACCAGUGGCGAAGGCGGCUUUCUGGUCUGUAACUGACGCUGAGGCGCGAAAGCGUGGGGAGCAAACAGGAUUAGAUACCCUGGUAGUCCACGCCGUAAACGAUGAGUGCUAAGUGUUAGGGGGUUUCCGCCCCUUAGUGCUGCAGCUAACGCAUUAAGCACUCCGCCUGGGGAGUACGGCCGCAAGACUNAAAGA
rnacentral:rRNA from 1 species